GCCGCGUGAGUGAAGAAGGCCUUCGGAUCGUAAAGCUCUGUUGUUAGUGAAGAACUCUGUGAGAGUGGAAAGUUCACAGAAGUGACGGUAAAUAACGAGAAAGGGACGGCUAACUACGUGCCAGCAGCCGCGGUAAUACGUAGGUCCCGAGCGUUGUCCGGAUUUAUUGGGCGUAAAGCGAGCGCAGGUGGUUUCUUAAGUCUGGUGUAAAAGGCUACGGCUCAACAGUAGUAUGCCAUUGGAAACUGGGAGACUUGAGUGCAGGAGAGGGGAGUGGAAUUCCAAGUGUAGCGGUGAAAUGCGUAGAUAUAUGGAGGAACACCGGUGGCGAAGGCGGCUCUCUGGCCUGUAACUGACACUGAGGCGCGAAAGCGUGGGGAGCAAACAGGAUUAGAUACCCUGGUAGUCCACGCCGUAAACGAUGAGUGCUAGAUGUGGGAAGCUAUAAG
rnacentral:rRNA from 1 species